rnacentral:rRNA from 1 species
CUUCCGUAGGUGAACCUGCGGAAGGAUCAUUACAGUAUUCUUUUGCCAGCGCUUAACUGCGCGGCGAAAAACCUUACACACCGUGUCUUUUUUUGAUACAGAACUCUUGCUUUGGUCUGGCCUAGAGAUAGGCUGGGCCAAAGGCACUACAAAACACAAUUUAAAUUUUUUUAACCAUUAGUCAAUGUUUUUGAAAUUAAUCUUCAAAACUUUCAACAACGGAUCUCUUGGUUCUCGCAUCGAUGAAGAACGCAGCGAAAUGCGAUAAGUAAUAUGAAUUGCAGAUUUUCGUGAAUCAUCGAAUCUUUGAACGCACAUUGCGCCCUCUGGUAUUCCAGAGGGCAUGCCUGUUUGAGCGUCAUUUCUCUCUCAAACCCCCGGGUUUGGUAUUGAGUGACACUCCUCUGACGAGGCGUCUGCUUGAAACGGAUUGGCAUGGGUAGCGCAUGUAACUGUGCUGUCGACCACUUCAAUGUAUUAGGUUUAUCCAACUCGUUGAACGGUUACAGAGCAGGGUUUGCGUGGAUAUGGCCCGGCCUUACAACAUCCUUUAAGUUGACCUCAAAUCAGGUAGGACUACCCGCUGAACUUAAGCAUAUCAAUAAGCGGAGGAAGGAU